rnacentral:misc_RNA from 1 species
AAAUUAUUGCCGAAGAAACAGGUGUUGUAAAUACCGUUGACCCGCUCGGCGGAAGCUGGUAUCUGGAAUCUCUGACCAAGAAAAUGGAAACGGGAUGUUUCGAUUAUUUCGACAAAAUAGACGGUUUCGGCGGUAUGGUCGAGGCAAUCGAAGCUGGAUUUCCGCAGCGAGAGAUUCAGGAAUCAGC